rnacentral:rRNA from 1 species
GUUGCAGGGUAUAGACCCGAAACCCGGUGAUCUAGCCAUGGGCAGGUUGAAGGUUGGGUAACACUAACUGGAGGACCGAACCGACUAAUGUUGAAAAAUUAGCGGAUGACCUGUGGCUGGGGGUGAAAGGCCAAUCAAACCGGGAGAUAGCUGGUUCUCCCCGAAAGCUAUUUAGGUAGCGCCUCGUGAAUUCAUCUCCGGGGGUAGAGCACUGUUUCGGCUAGGGGGCCAUCCCGGCUUACCAACCCGAUGCAAACUGCGAAUACCGGAGAAUGUUAUCACGGGAGACACACGGCGGGUGCUAACGUCCGUCGUGAAGAGGGAAACAACCCAGACCGCCAGCUAAGGUCCCAAAGUCAUAGUUAAGUGGGAAACGAUGUGGGAAGGCCCAGACAGCCAGGAUGUUGGCUUAGAAGCAGCCAUCAUUUAAAGAAAGCGUAAUAGCUCACUGGUCGAGUCGGCCUGCGCGGAAGAUGUAACGGGGCUAAACUAUGCACCGAAGCUGCGGCAGCGACACUAUGUGUUGUUGGGUAGGGGAGCGUUCUGUAAGCCUGUGAAGGUGUGUCGUGAGGCAUGCUGGAGGUAUCAGAAGUGCGAAUGCUGACAUAAGUAACGAUAAAGCGGGUGAAAAGCCCGCUCGCCGGAAGACCAAGGGUUCCUGUCCAACGUUAAUCGGGGCAGGGUGAGUCGACCCCUAAGGCGAGGCCGAAAGGCGUAGUCGAUGGGAAACGGGUUAAUAUUCCCGUACUUGGUGUUACUGCGAAGGGGGGACGGAGAAGGCUAUGUUGGCCGGGCGACGGUUGUCCCGGUUUAAGCGUGUAGGUGUGUGUUCCAGGUAAAUCCGGUUCACUUUAACACUGAGGCGUGAUGACGAGGCACUACGGUGCUGAAGCAACAAAUGCCCUGCUUCCAGGAAAAGCCUCUAAGCAUCAGGUAACAUCAAAUCGUACCCCAAACCGACACAGGUGGUCAGGUAGAGAAUACCAAGGCGCUUGAGAGAACUCGGGUGAAGGAACUAGGCAAAAUGGUGCCGUAACUUCGGGAGAAGGCACGCUGACACGUAGGUGAAGUGAUUUACUCAUGGAGCUGAAGUCAGUCGAAGAUACCAGCUGGCUGCAACUGUUUAUUAAAAACACAGCACUGUGCAAACACGAAAGUGGACGUAUACGGUGUGACGCCUGCCCGGUGCCGGAAGGUUAAUUGAUGGGGUCAGCGCAAGCGAAGCUCCUGAUCGAAGCCCCGGUAAACGGCGGCCGUAACUAUAACGGUCCUAAGGUAGCGAAAUUCCUUGUCGGGUAAGUUCCGACCUGCACGAAUGGCGUAAUGAUGGCCAGGCUGUCUCCACCCGAGACUCAGUGAAAUUGAACUCGCUGUGAAGAUGCAGUGUACCCGCGGCAAGACGGAAAGACCCCGUGAACCUUUACUAUAGCUUGACACUGAACAUUGAGCCUUGAUGUGUAGGAUAGGUGGGAGGCUUUGAAGUGUGGACGCCAGUCUGCAUGGAGCCGACCUUGAAAUACCACCCUUUAAUGUUUGAUGUUCUAACGUGGACCCGUGAUCCGGGUUGCGGACAGUGUCUGGUGGGUAGUUUGACUGGGGCGGUCUCCUCCUAAAGAGUAACGGAGGAGCACGAAGGUUGGCUAAUCCUGGUCGGACAUCAGGAGGUUAGUGCAAUGGCAUAAGCCAGCUUGACUGCGAGCGUGACGGCGCGAGCAGGUGCGAAAGCAGGUCAUAGUGAUCCGGUGGUUCUGAAUGGAAGGGCCAUCGCUCAACGGAUAAAAGGUACUCCGGGGAUAACAGGCUGAUACCGCCCAAGAGUUCAUAUCGACGGCGGUGUUUGGCACCUCGAUGUCGGCUCAUCACAUCCUGGGGCUGAAGUAGGUCCCAAGGGUAUGGCUGUUCGCCAUUUAAAGUGGUACGCGAGCUGGGUUUAGAACGUCGUGAGACAGUUCGGUCCCUAUCUGCCGUGGGCGCUGGAGAACUGAGGGGGGCUGCUCCUAGUACGAGAGGACCGGAGUGGACGCAUCACUGGUGUUCGGGUUGUCAUGCCAAUGGCACUGCCCGGUAGCUAAAUGCGGAAGAGAUAAGUGCUGAAAGCAUCUAAGCACGAAACUUGCCCCGAG